GCCCUGGUAGCUCAAUUGGUUAGAGCGUCGGACUUUUAUUAGCUGCGGGAGUGAAAGUGAUCCGAAGGCUGCGGGUUCGACCCCCGCCUGGGGCG